UACGGAGGGUGCGAGCGUUGUUCGGAAUCACUGGGCGUAAAGCGCGUGUAGGCGGCCCACUAAGUCUGAUGUGAAAGCCCGGGGCUCACCCCCGGAAGUGCAUUGGAAACUGGUGGACUCGAGUCCCGGAGAGGAGAGUGGAAUUCCUGGUGUAGCGGUGAAAUGCGUAGAUAUCAGGAGGAACACCGGUGGCGAAGGCGGCUCUCUGGACGGUGACUGACGCUGAGACGCGAAAGCGUGGGGAGCAAAC
rnacentral:rRNA from 1 species